UACGUAGGGUGCGAGCGUUGUUCGGAAUCAUUGGGCGUAAAGCGCGUGUAGGCGGCUUACUAAGUCUGGUGUGAAAGCCCGGGGCUUAACCCCGGAAGUGCACUGGAUACUGAUAAGCUAGAGGACGAGAGAGGAUGGUGGAAUUCCUGGUGUAGGGGUGAAAUCCGUAGAUAUCAGGAGGAACAUCAGUGGCGAAGGCGGCCAUCUGGCUCGUUUCUGACGCUCAGACGCGAAAGCGCGGGGAGCAAACAGG
rnacentral:rRNA from 1 species